rnacentral:rRNA from 1 species
UACGGGGGGGGUAAGCGUUGUUCGGAAUUACUGGGCGUAAAGGGCUCGUAGGCGGCUCAAUAAGUCAUACGUGAAAUCCCUCAGCUUAACUGGGGAACUGCGUGUGAUACUGGAUGGCUUGGAUUUGGGAGAGGGAUGCGGAAUUCCAGGUGUAGCGGUGAAAUGCGUAGAUAUCUGGAGGAACACCGGUGGCGAAGGCGGCAUCCUGGACCAAUAUUGACGCUGAGGAGCGAAAGCCAGGGGAGCAAACGGG